rnacentral:rRNA from 1 species
UUUGAAAUCUGGCUUCGGCCCGAGUUGUAAUCUGGAGAGGAAGCUUUGGGCGCGGCGCCAACUGAGUCCCCUGGAACGGGGCGCCACAGAGGGUGAGAGCCCCGUAUAGUUGGACGCCUAGCCUGUGUAGAGCUCCUUCGACGAGUCGAGUAGUUUGGGAAUGCUGCUCAAAAUGGGAGGUAAAUUUCUUCUAAAGCUAAAUACCAGCCAGAGACCGAUAGCGCACAAGUAGAGUGAUCGAAAGAUGAAAAGCACUUUGAAAAGAGGGUUAAACAGCACGUGAAAUUGUUGAAAGGGAAGCGCUUGUGACCAGACUCGCGCCGGGCUGAUCAUCCGGUGUUCUCACCGGUGCACUCUGCCCGGCUCGGGCCAGCAUCGGUUCCUGCGGGGGGAUAAAGGCUCCGGGAACGUAGCUCCUCCGGGAGUGUUAUAGCCCGGGGCGCAAUGCCCCCGCGGGGACCGAGGACCGCGCUCUGCAAGGAUGCUGGCGUAAUGGUCACCAGCGACCCGUCU